rnacentral:rRNA from 1 species
UACGGGGGGGGCAAGCGUUGUUCGGAAUUACUGGGCGUAAAGGGCUCGUAGGCGGCCAACUAAGUCAGACGUGAAAUCCCUCGGCUUAACCGGGGAACUGCGUCUGAUACUGGAUGGCUUGAGUUCGGGAGAGGGUAGUGGAAUUCCCGGUGUAGUGGUGAAAUGCGUAGAUAUCGGGAGGAACACCCGUGGCGAAGGCGGCGCUCUGGUCGGCAUCUGACGCUGAGAGGCGAAAGCGUGGGGAGCGAACGGG